rnacentral:lncRNA from 1 species
GUUCCUUUCAUCUGAUGUAGACCUUAAGUGCCCUUGGUUCAUCUGUCACUUUGUCUAUGUGCUCAAUUUAUUAUGUUGUUAUUAUUGUUUAUGUCUGAUGAUUGUUUCUGAGUUUACCCCAAGAAAUAUUUCAUCUGAUAUAUUGGAAGACAUUGAAGACCGUUAGCUAUUGGAGUGCUUGCUUGGAUAUUAUGGCUAUCUUUAUUUGAUUCCUUGUUCUUCAUAUGGUUUUCUUGGAUAUUGCUUAUGUUUGUUGCUUGCUAAAGUCCAAAGGAAAUUGGGUUUCUAUCUGACAUUCUUGUCUUGUGUAUUGCAUCCCAUUGGUCAUAUCUUUUCAACUCUUAACUUUUAAUUUUUGUUUAGGAUAGUCCUUUCAUCUCCCCCCACUUAUUUAAUUUUAAAAUCCCUCCCUUUUUUCAAAAACCUUCUUUGCUUGUGAUUUCAAAUUUAGACAUGUUUUAAUGACUAGAAACUUUGGCCUUAUGCCAUUGAAUUUUUAAAAACUUUU